UACGUAGGGGGCAAGCGUUGUCCGGAAUCAUUGGGCGUAAAGCGCGUGUAGGCGGCUUGAUAAGUCUGCUCUGAAAGCCCGGGGCUCAACCCUGGGAGGCGGGUGGAUACUGUCGAGCUCGAGUCCGGAAGAGGCGAGUGGAAUUCCUGGUGUAGCGGUGAAAUGCGCAGAUAUCAGGAGGAACACCAAUGGCGAAGGCAGCUCGCUGGGACGUGACUGACGCUGAGACGCGAAAGCGUGGGGAGCAAACAGG
rnacentral:rRNA from 1 species